rnacentral:rRNA from 1 species
GGGGAAUAUUGCGCAAUGGGGGAAACCCUGACGCAGCAAUACCGCGUGAGUGAAGAAGGUUUUCGGAUCGUAAAGCUCUGUUAUUGGGGAAGAAAAAAAGACGGUACCCAAGAAGAAAGUCCCGGCUAACUACGUGCCAGCAGCCGCGGUAAUACGUAGGGGACAAGCGUUGUCCGGAUUUACUGGGCGUAAAGGGCACGCAGGCGGUUUUUUAAGUCAGAUGUGAAAGGUACCGGCUCAACCGGUGACAUGCAUUUGAAACUGUCGGGCUAGAGUGCAGGAGAGGUAAGUGGAAUUCCUAGUGUAGCGGUGAAAUGCGUAGAUAUUAGGAGGAACACCAGUGGCGAAGGCGGCUUACUGGACUGUAACUGACACUGAGGCUCGAAAGCGUGGGGAGCAAACA